UAAUAACUGAAGUGUAAAUCCAAGGGAGACAGAGCUGCCCAUUUGUUUUAGUGUAUUUCAAAGGUUUUCCUUUAAAGAAGAGUCUUACAUUCUCUUCUCCUUAAAUAUGCAGGUUUUCUAGACUCCAUAUUUUCCUCUACUUUUGAUUGUACAAGACUAUGAAGAAGCAUGUAUUUUCCAUGAUGUAGGGACAGGUGACGUCUGAAAAGUAGCAACUCUGUGUUUGGUGUGGCAUGAAUAAGAGAACCCAAGUUGGAAGGAAUUCCAAGAUUUAAACCUGAGUAAGAACUCAAAUGAACCCAAUCUGAACCGCAGGCAGAAGUCCAAACUGAAGUUUGAAACUACUCUCAAAGUCAGCACCUGUUAUUUGAAGACACUUUAUGCUCACUGAACAGUUACAGAUCAAAAUGAAAGAGCAAGCAAAGCAAAAUCAGCACAGCAAGAGCAGACCUGCAAAAAAGAAUUCUGACCAGCUGAGCAUCGAGAACGCCUUCUGCAGAAGAAUUCUGCUCCCAAAUGCAAAUAAGAAAGAAGUUUGGGAAACUGCCAGCUCCUUGCACAAAGACUGA
rnacentral:lncRNA from 1 species